UACGAAGGGGGCUAGCGUUGUUCGGAAUUACUGGGCGUAAAGCGCACGUAGGCGGAUUGUUAAGUCAGGGGUGAAAUCCUGGAGCUCAACUCCAGAACUGCCUUUGAUACUGGCGAUCUCGAGUCCGGGAGAGGUGAGUGGAACUGCGAGUGUAGAGGUGAAAUUCGUAGAUAUUCGGAAGAACACCAGUGGCGAAGGCGGCUCACUGGCCCGGUACUGACGCUGAGGUGCGAAAGCGUGGGGGAGCAAACAGGGAUU
rnacentral:rRNA from 1 species